AGACAGGUGCUGCAUGGCUGUCGUCAGCUCGUGUCGUGAGAUGUUGGGUUAAGUCCCGCAACGAGCGCAACCCUUGUCUUUAGUUGCCAUCAUUCAGUUGGGCACUCUAAAGAGACUGCCGGUGUCAAACCGGAGGAAGGUGGGGAUGACGUCAAGUCCUCAUGGCCUUUAUGACCAGGGCUACACACGUACUACAAUGGCCGGUACAAAGGGCAGCCACUUAGCGAUAAGGAGCCAAUCCCGUAAAGCCGGUCUCAGUCCGGAUUGGAGUCUGCAACUCGACUCCAUGAAGUUGGAAUCGCUAGUAAUCGCAGAUCAGCACGCUGCGGUGAAUACCGGUUCCCGGGCCUU
rnacentral:rRNA from 1 species